CAGUCGCCGCGGUAAUCCGUAGGGUGCAAGCGUUAAUCGGAAUUACUGGGCGUAAAGCGUGCGCAGGCGGUUUGUUAAGACAGAUGUGAAAUCCCCGGGCUCAACCUGGGAACUGCAUUUGUGACUGGCAAGCUAGAGUGUGGCAGAGGGGGGUGGAAUUCCGCGUGUAGCAGUGAAAUGCGUAGAUAUGCGGAGGAACACCGAUGGCGAAGGCAGCCCCCUGGGCCAACACUGACGCUCAUGCACGAAAGCGUGGGGAGCAAACAGGAUUAGAUACCCGAGUAGUCCCUGUCUCUUAUAC
rnacentral:rRNA from 1 species